rnacentral:rRNA from 1 species
AGAGUUUGAUCCUGGCUCAGGAUGAACGCUAGCGGCAGGCUUAAUACAUGCAAGUCAAGGGGGUAGCAAUACAACCGGCGCACGGGUGAGUAACGCGNACACAACAUGCCAUAUACUGGGGUAUAGCUUUGGGAAACUGAAGGUAAUCCCCCAUAGUAUUGCGGGUAGGCAUCUAUCUGCAAUUAAAGUUUCGACGGUAUAUGAUUGGUGUGCGUUCCAUUAGCUAGUUGGUAGGGUAGCGGCCUACCAAGGCGACGAUGGGUAGCUGGCGUGAGAGCGCGACCAGCCACACUGGAACUGAGACACGGUCCAGACUCCUACGGGAGGCAGCAGUAGGGAAUAUUGGACAAUGGGCGAAAGCCUGAUCCAGCCAUGCCGCGUGAUAGAUGAAGGCCCUCUGGGUUGUAAAUAUCUUUUAUCUGGGAAGAAACUCCUCUAUUCUUAGAGGCCUGACGGUACCAGAGGAAUAAGCACCGGCUAACUCCGUGCCAGCAGCCGCGGUAAUACGGAGGGUGCAAGCGUUAUCCGGAUUCACUGGGUUUAAAGGGUGCGUAGGCGGGUUGAUAAGUCAGUGGUGAAAGCUCCGGGCUUAACUUGGAAACUGCCAUUGAUACUGUCCAUCUUGAAUGUCGUANAGGUAAGCGGAAUGUUGCAUGUANCGGUGANAUGCUUAGAUAUGUUACAGAACACCAAUUGCGAAGGCAGCUUACUAUGCNAUAAUUGACGCUGAGGCACGAAAGCGUGGGGAGCAAACAGGAUUAGAUACCCCGGUAGU